rnacentral:rRNA from 1 species
UUGACCUACGGGAGGCAGCAGUGGGGGAUAUUGCACAAUGGGGGGAACCCUGAUGCAGCGACGCCGCGCGGGUGAAGAAGCGCCUCGGCGCGUAAAGCCCUGUCAGCAGGGAAGAAAAUGACGGUACCUGAAGAAGAAGCCCCGGCUAACUACGUGCCAGCAGCCGCGGUAAUACGUAGGGGGCAAGCGUUAUCCGGAUUUACUGGGUGUAAAGGGAGCGUAGACGGCAAGACAAGCCUGGAGUGAAAGGCGGGGGCCCAACCCCCGGACUGCUCUGGGAACU